AUAUUUCAAAAAUCAACUUAUUAUAAUAAACAUUUUCAUAAAUAAAUAACAUAAAAAGUAAUAAAAAUCUCAAAUUAUUCAGUUUUUUUUUAAAUCUAAAAUUAUUAUUAAAUAAUAAAUUUUAACUUAUUUUAUAUUUUGUCUUGAGUUUUGUUUAAAUUGUGCUGAUAAAAAUUUCACUUCAUAUAUGACGAAGCUGGAUAGGAAAAAAAACAAAAAAAGAAAAUUUAUAUGAACCAAAACAUAAUCCAAAAACUUGGACAAUUAGAAAUCAGAAAUCAUGCAAGAACCUGAUAGAAAGUUUGGAUUAUAGUGGUGAAUACAUCGAAGUUUCAACGGAAAGCAAGCAACAACCACCAUAUAAACAAUUGUAUAUAAAUUUAUAAAUAUUUAUAUAUUCAUUUUCUGUCAAUUAUAUUUAUUAUAAACUAGCUAAAAUUAUUGUUUUACUAAUACAAAAUAUUCAUGCAAUUGCAAAAACAACACAAAUAAGAACUUAUAUAUAUAUAUAUAUAUAAUUAUUCAUAA
rnacentral:lncRNA from 1 species